UGGAUAGCAUUGUAGACUGAAUCCCUUUCUACACAGGAUAGAUUCAACACAGGCAGGGGCAGAGGAAGCUUCUUCACACCAUCCCACCAAGCCAUGUCAAUUUUGUUCUGAAAGGACCACCUUUAGAGAUGAGAGGGAAUAGUUCAGUCUCCAUAUUCAAUUCAAUCUUUGGCUUCU
ensembl:misc_RNA